UUUCAUGAAAACAACAUAAUUUCUGUUCACUAAGAACUAAUUGUUUUUUUUGUAAUAGGUCUAUCGCUCUUCAGUUUUCCAGUUAUUCUUUUUGAGAGCCAGUGUGAUCUCCCAAGCAUGAAAGCAAAUGGCCGGGUAUUAUCUAAUAUUAUAUCUCAGAGCUAUGCAGAUAAAUCAUUGCCUAACAUAUUUAUUUCUUGAUCAGUAUGUGCUUAGAAUUUCAAAUUAUUGCAAACGCCAUAGUAGAAUUUCUUUUUGCUCGGUACAGCUAUCUGACUUCUCAAUGUUGAUUUGGUUUCCGCUUUACUGUAAUGGCAUCGAGUCCUUUUACCUAAAGAACAUAAAAAGUCCUACCAUUUCCAUUUUCGUGUGGAUAACAUGGAGGUAGCUAUAUGAAGCUUUUAAGCGCAAUCUACCCAGAGAUGUAUGUAUGAUUUGUCAUACAUACAUGUCUUUACCUAAAAAAGGCAUGUAUGUAUGAUUUGUCAUACAUACAUGCCUUUUUUUUUGCCACUGCUUGGUCUGGCAGCUGAGGCCCGCGAGUGACAUCAUGACAAUUGCUGUUUUCAGCCAUGAGGUGGCACUUUUGUUUUGUGAUACCCAAGCAAUCUGGACAGAUAAUGCUGAUUUGUACUUCUGUAUACAAAACUUGGAUGAAUCUAAAAAAACUUCAAUUCGCAACUGUAAAGCUGACUGUGAUGUUUAUAUUCCUGCAGUUUUCUCACCAUGAACCUGGUGUUACCCACGUCAUAGUAACAGGAGGAGCUGGUUAUAUUGGAUCACAUGCCUCUUUAAGGCUCUUCAAGGAUAACUAUUGAGUUACCAUUGUGAGGAAACAUGGGAGCAGUAAAGGUUCUGCAAGAGUUAUUUCCGCAGCCUGGGAGGCUACAAUUCAUUUUUGCUGUGAUCUGGGAGGCUACAAUCCAAAGUUUUGUUUUUCACUUAACUGGCUCCCAGGUCAACAAGAUAUUUGCUGAAAAUACAUUUGAUGCUGUGAUGCACUUUGCUGCAGUUGCUUAUGUGGGUGAAAGCACACUGGAACCCCUUAGCUGUUUGAUAUAACGAGGGGACAAGGCAGGCAUGGCCAGCGACCGGUGGGAAAGCAUGCGACAAGUCAGACAUUGCCUGUCGACGCAACUUCGACUCCUACUCGGCGAGAGCUAUUCGG